AAUGUACUCCAUCCGUCCCGAAUUACUUGUCUUAGAUUUGUCUAGAUACGGAUGUAUCUAAACGUGGUUUUUUUAGAUACAUCUGUAUCUAGAAAAAUCUAAGACAAGUAAUAUUGGACGUAGGUAAUAAUGU
rfam:Triticum aestivum genome assembly, contig: Triticum_aestivum_CS42_TGACv1_scaffold_361151_4DS